rnacentral:lncRNA from 1 species
AGGGUUUCCCUUUGUUGGAUCGACACAUGAUACGUGACAUCUAUGCAGGAAUUUAAGCGAGAGGAAGAGCUCACAUGGAGAGACAAGAAGACAGAGACAGGAAGUCGCUCAGGCUUGGUAUUUAACAGUUCCAGUUUAAAAGGGAGUGUAAACAAAAAACAAGAACAAAGAAGAGAUCGGGAGGUUGUGUAUGAGGAGAGACUUGGCUCCAGCACGUUGCCUUCGGGACAUCUGUGCCCCGGUGAGAAGAAGCAUUCCAGGACUCGGGGUCAGCACUUCAGCCAUUCAACCUCUCACUCCCCAACAC